GAUGAACGCUGGCGGCGUGCCUAAUACAUGCGAGUCGAGCGAACAGACGAGGAGCUUGCUCCUCUGACGUUAGCGGCGGACGGGUGAGUAACACGUGGAUAACCUACCUAUAAGACUGGGAUAACUUCGGGAAACCGGAGCUAAUACCGGAUAAUAUAUUGAACCGCAUGGUUCAAUAGUGAAAGACGGUUUUGCUGUCACUUAUAGAUGGAUCCGCGCCGCAUUAGCUAGUUGGUAAGGUAACGGCUUACCAAGGCAACGAUGCGUAGCCGACCUGAGAGGGUGAUCGGCCACACUGGAACUGAGGCACGGUCCAGACUCCGACGGGAGGCAGCAGUAGGGAAUCUUCCGCAAUGGGCGAAAGCCUGACGGAGCAACGCCGCGUGAGUGAUGAAGGUCUUCGGAUCGUAAAACUCUGUUAUUAGGGAAGAACAAAUGUGUAAGUAACUAUGCACGUCUUGACGGUACCUAAUCAGAAAGCCACGGCUAACUACGUG
rnacentral:rRNA from 1 species